CACUCCAACCCAAUGUGAACGUUACCAAUCUGUUGCCUCGGCGGGAUUCUCUGCCCCGGGCGCGUCGCAGCCCCGGAUCCCAUGGCGCCCGCCGGAGGACCAACUCAAACUCUUUUUUCUCUCCGUCGCGGCCUACGUCGCGGCUCUGUUUUAUUUUUGCUCUGAGCCUUUCUCGGCGACCCUAGCGGGCGUCUCGAAAAUGAAUCAAAACUUUCAACAACGGAUCUCUUGGUUCUGGCAUCGAUGAAGAACGCAGCGAAAUGCGAUAAGUAAUGUGAAUUGCAGAAUUCAGUGAAUCAUCGAAUCUUUGAACGCACAUUGCGCCCGCCAGUAUUCUGGCGGGCAUGCCUGUCCGAGCGUCAUUUCAACCCUCGAACCCCUCCGGGGGGUCGGCGUUGGGGAUCGGCCCCUCACCGGGCCGCCCCCGAAAUACAGUGGCGGUCUCGCCGCAGCCUCUCCUGCGCAGUAGUUUGCACACUCGCACCGGGAGCGCGGCGCGGCCACAGCCGUAAAACACCCCAAACUCUGAAAUGUUGACCUCGGAUCAGGUAGGAAUACCCGCUGAACUUAAGCAUAUCUAANCCCGGGAAGAAAA
rnacentral:rRNA from 1 species